UAAGUUUUUCUGCCUUGUGAUCCUGUAUCUGUCUUCAAUCUUCAUAGGUCGUCGGUCUUGAUUGUAGCGAUGCAAUUUACUGCUCGGCAAAGGAAGGAAUAGGUAUCAACGAAAUCCUAAAUGCAAUAGUUCAAAAGAUCCCCCCACCUAAGGAUAAUGCAGAAAAGCCCUUGAGGGCUCUCAUAUUUGAUAGUUACUAUGAUGCUUACCG